rnacentral:lncRNA from 1 species
CUUAGGUGGUGGUAGAGGUGUGGGCAGAAUAUCAGGAAAUGCUUCCCUCAGGAAUUGAUGUGCAUGAGGAAUCCUGGAGAAUAAGAAGCACUGUUAUCAGCUGUGACAGAGCCCUUCCUGCCUCCUGUCUGCCAGCGUACUUGGGACCAUGCCUCUGUGAAGGACUUCAAUUUCUCUUUACAAGAAUCAACGUGGAGCAAACUCCAGUUGCCUACUGCCUAGCAUUCUUGCUAAGAUACGUAUGUAAAUAAAAUGUCUUUAUAUACCUGAGAAUUUA